rnacentral:rRNA from 1 species
AUGCUUUGGAAGAAGCUUGUACAGUUUGGGAAGGGGUUUUUUGAGAGAAAAGAAGAAUCUACUUCAACCGAUAUGCCCUUAGGCACGGCCAUGCAUAACAUAGAAAUCACACGUGGAAGAGGUGGGCAAUUAGCUAGAGCAGCAGGUGCUAUAGCGAAACUCAUUGCAAAAGAGGGUAAAUCGGCCACUUUAAGAUUACCAUCUGGGGAGGUCCGUUUAGUAUCCCAAAACUGCUUAGCAAUAGUCAGACAAGUGGGUAAUGUUGGGGUGAACCAAAAAAAUUUGGGUAGAGCCGGAUCUAAGUGUUGGCUAGGGAAAGCUCCCAUUGGUAGAAAAAAACCCACAACCCCUUGGGGUUAUCCUGCGCUUGGAAGAAGAACUAGGAAAAGGAAAAAAUAUAGCGAUAGUUUUAUUCUUCGUCACCGUAAGUAA